UUGACCAAUUUUUCAAUGGGUUAAUUAUUUCUUUAACAUUAUAAAUAGAGGAUAUUUGUUCAUGUCAGUGUAAGAUCCUUUGUCAUUUCACGAGUGAUCAUAGAAAAUAUAUUUUUAUGCCCCCCUUCGAAGAAGAGGGGGUAUAUUGUUUUGCACAUGUCGGUCGGUCAGUAGGUCGGUCAGUAGGUCGGUCGGUCCGUCCACCAGAUGGUUUCCGGAUGAUAACUCGAGAACGCUUAGGCCUAGGAUCAUGAAACUUCAUAGGUACAUUGAUCAUAACUGGCAGAUGACCCCUAUUGAUUUUCAGGUCAAAGGUCAAGGUCACAGUGACUCUAAUUAGUAAAAUGGUUUCCGGAUGAUAACUCAAGAAUGCUUAUGCCUAGGAUCAUGAAACUUCAUAGGUACAUUGAUCAUGAGUGGCAGAUGACCCCUAUUGAUUUUCAGGUCACUAGGUCAAAGGUCAAGGUCACAGUGACUUGAAACAGUAAAAUGGUUUCCGGAUGAUCACUCAAGAAUGCUUACGCCUAGGAUCAUGAAACUUCAUAGGUACAUUGAUCAUGACUGGCAGAUGACCCCUAUUGAUUUUCUGGGACUAGGUCAAAGGUCAAGGUCACAGUGACUCGAAAUAGUAAAAUGGUUUCCGGAUGAUAACUCGAGAAUGCUUACGCCUAGGAUCAUGAAACUUCAUAGGUACAUUGAUCAUGAGUGGCAUAUGACCCCUAUUGAUUUUCAGGUCACUAGGUCAAAGGUCAAGGUCACAGUGACUUGAAACAGUAAAAUGGUUUCCGGAUGAUCACUCAAGAAUGCUUACGCCUAGGAUCAUGAAACUUCAUAGGUACAUUGAUCAUAACUGGCAGAUGACCCCUAUUGAUUUUCAGGUUACUUGGUCAAAGGUCAAGGUCACAGUGACUCUAAACAGUAAAAUAGUUUCCGGAUGUGAACUCAAGAAUGCUUAUGCCGAGGAUCAUGAAACUUCAUAGGUACAUUGAUCAUGACUGGCAGAUGACCCCUAUUGAUUUUCAGGUCACUAGGUCAAAGGUCAAGGUCACAGUGACUCGAAACAGUAAAAUGGUUUCCGGGUGAUAACUCAAGAAUACUUAGGCCUAGGAUCAUGAAACUUCAUAGGUACAUUUAUCAUGACUGGCAGAUGACCCCUAUUGAUUUUCAGGUCACUAGGUCAAAGGUCAAGGUCACA